rnacentral:rRNA from 1 species
AGUGAACGCUGGCGGUAGGCCUAACACAUGCAAGUCGAACGGCAGCACAGUAAGAGCUUGCUCUUACGGGUGGCGAGUGGCGGACGGGUGAGGAAUACAUCGGAAUCUACUUUUUCGUGGGGGAUAACGUAGGGAAACUUACGCUAAUACCGCAUACGACCUACGGGUGAAAGCAGGGGAUCUUCGGACCUUGCGCGAUUGAAUGAGCCGAUGUCGGAUUAGCUAGUUGGCGGGGUAAAGGCCCACCAAGGCGACGAUCCGUAGCUGGUCUGAGAGGAUGAUCAGCCACACUGGAACUGAGACACGGUCCAGACUCCUAGGGAGGCAGCAGUGGGGAAUAUUGGACAAUGGGCGCAAGCCUGAUCCAGCGAUACCGCGUGGGUGAAGAAGGCCUUCGGGUUGUAAAGCCCUUUUGUUGGGAAAGAAAAGCAGCAGGUUAAUACCCCGCUGUUCUGACGGUACCCAAAGAAUAAGCACCGGCUAACUUCGUG